GAUGAACGCUGGCGGCGUGCCUAAUACAUGCAAGUCGAGCGAACAGACGAGGAGCUUGCUCCUCUGACGUUAGCGGCGGACGGGUGAGUAACACGUGGAUAACCUACCUAUAAGACUGGGAUAACUUCGGGAAACCGGAGCUAAUACCGUAUAAUAUAUUGAACCGCAUGGUUCAAUAGUGAAAGACGGUUUUGCUGUCACUUAUAGAUGGAUCCGCGCCGCAUUAGCUAGUUGGUAAGGUAACGGCUUACCAAGGCAACGAUGCGUAGCCGACCCGAGAGGGUGAUCGGCCACACUGGAACUGAGACACGGUCCAGACUCCUACGGGAGGCAGCAGUAGGGAAUCUUCCGCAAUGGGCGAAAGCCUGACGGAGCAACGCCGCGUGAGUGAUGAAGGUCUUCGGAUCGUAAAACUCUGUUAUUAGGGAAGAACAAAUGUGUAAGUAACUAUGCACGUCUUGACGGUACCUAAUCAGAAAGCCACGGCUAACUACGUG
rnacentral:rRNA from 1 species